rnacentral:rRNA from 1 species
UCUCCGGGGGUAGAGCACUGUUUCGGCAAGGGGGUCAUCCCGACUUACCAACCCGAUGCAAACUGCGAAUACCGGAGAAUGUUAUCACGGGAGACACACGGCGGGUGCUAACGUCCGUCGUGAAGAGGGAAACAACCCAGACCGCCAGCUAAGGUCCCAAAGUCAUGGUUAAGUGGGAAACGAUGUGGGAAGGCCCAGACAGCCAGGAUGUUGGCUUAGAAGCAGCCAUCAUUUAAAGAAAGCGUAAUAGCUCACUGGUCGAGUCGGCCUGCGCGGAAGAUGUAACGGGGCUAAACCAUGCACCGAAGCUGCGGCAGCGACGCUGAUGCGUUGUUGGGUAGGGGAGCGUUCUGUAAGCCUGCGAAGGUGUGCUGUGAGGCAUGCUGGAGGUAUCAGAAGUGCGAAUGCUGACAUAAGUAACGAUAAAGCGGGUGAAAAGCCCGCUCGCCGGAAGACCAAGGGUUCCUGUCCAACGUUAAUCGGGGCAGGGUGAGUCGACCCCUAAGGCGAGGCCGAAAGGCGUAGUCGAUGGGAAACAGGUUAAUAUUCCUGUGCUUGGUGUUACUGCGAAGGGGGGACGGAGAAGGCUAUGUUGGCCGGGCGACGGUUGUCCCGGUUUAAGCGUGUAGGCUGGUUUUCCAGGCAAAUCCGGAAAAUCAAGGCUGAGGCGUGAUGACGAGGCACUACGGUGCUGAAGCAACAAAUGCCCUGCUUCCAGGAAAAGCCUCUAAGCAUCAGGUAACAUCAAAUCGUACCCCAAACCGACACAGGUGGUCAGGUAGAGAAUACCAAGGCGCUUGAGAGAACUCGGGUGAAGGAACUAGGCAAAAUGGUGCCGUAACUUCGGGAGAAGGCACGCUGAUAUGUAGGUGAAGUCCCUCGCGGAUGGAGCUGAAAUCAGUCGAAGAUACCAGCUGGCUGCAACUGUUUAUUAAAAACACAGCACUGUGCAAACACGAAAGUGGACGUAUACGGUGUGACGCCUGCCCGGUGCCGGAAGGUUAAUUGAUGGGGUCAGCGCAAGCGAAGCUCUUGAUCGAAGCCCCGGUAAACGGCGGCCGUAACUAUAACGGUCCUAAGGUAGCGAAAUUCCUUGUCGGGUAAGUUCCGACCUGCACGAAUGGCGUAAUGAUGGCCAGGCUGUCUCCACCCGAGACUCAGUGAAAUUGAACUCGCUGUGAAGAUGCAGUGUACCCGCGGCAAGACGGAAAGACCCCGUGAACCUUUACUAUAGCUUGACACUGAACAUUGAGCCUUGAUGUGUAGGAUAGGUGGGAGGCUUUGAAGUGUGGACGCCAGUCUGCAUGGAGCCGACCUUGAAAUACCACCCUUUAAUGUUUGAUGUUCUAACGUGGACCCGUAAUCCGGGUUGCGGACAGUGUCUGGUGGGUAGUUUGACUGGGGCGGUCUCCUCCUAAAGAGUAACGGAGGAGCACGAAGGU